rnacentral:rRNA from 1 species
AAACUUUUAACAACGGAUCUCUUGGUUCUGGCAUCGAUGAAGAACGCAGCGAAAUGCGAUAAGUAAUGUGAAUUGCAGAAUUCAGUGAAUCAUCGAAUCUUUGAACGCACAUUGCGCCCGCCAGCAUUCUGGCGAGCAUGCCUGUUCGAGCGUCAUU